rnacentral:rRNA from 1 species
UACGAAGGGGGCUAGCGUUGUUCGGAAUCACUGGGCGUAAAGCGCACGUGGGCGGAUGUGCCAGUCAGGGGUGAAAUCCCGGAGCUCAACUCCGGAACUGCCUCUGAUACAGCACGUCUUGAGUUCGAGAGAGGUGGGUGGAAUUCCUAGUGUAGAGGUGAAAUUCGUAGAUAUUAGGAAGAACACCGGUGGCGAAGGCGGCCCUCUGGACGGAUACUGACGCUGAGACGCGACAGCGUGGGGAGCAAACAGG